CAACACACAUGUUUCUGCCCUGGCUCACUUAUACACACAGUUUGUAUUGAUGUCUCUGCUCACAUGAGGAAGAGCAAAGCGAGUUACCACAAUGGGAGAACACAAUCCUGGGCGUCUCGCUGCAAUAGUUGUGUCUGUGAUUGGCUACAUGAUCAGUUUGGUGUUUAAUGGAUUGUCUGUAGUUGGCCUUGGUCCAUAUUAUACCACCACUGGCAACGUGUCUGCUGUGUUUGACACCCAGAUCACACCCUCAGGAUGGGCCUUUAACAUCUGGAGUGUCAUAUACAUCUGGCUCACUGCAAUGAUCAUCUACAUUGUUGCAGGACUCUGCAGAAAGAAUGGAUAUGGAUACGUUUAUUGCAGCCCUGCGGUGUUGCCUUAUGGAUUCUUCAUCAGCUGGUGCUUCAAUCUGUGUUUUAAUAUUGGCUGGCUCAUCGUUUGGGACAGAGGCAUAAUGAUCGCAGCGCUGGUUUUCCUCAUCCUGGUCAUCUGCACAAACUACCUGAUGAUAUUCUUCACCUGCCACGGACUUCACGUGUAUGGGCCGUGGCUGAAAAAAUACCACAAUGCUGACCUGUGGUGCUUCCGUGUGUUGGUUCAGAAUGGUGUAAUGAUUUAUGCCACGUGGACAACAAUUGCAACACUGAUCAAUCUGACUAUUGUGCUGACGUAUGAGGUCAAAAUGACUCCUGAAGAUGCAGCAACCAUCUCUUAUGCAGUUUUGACAGUUGUGCUGCUGGGCUGGUUUGUUUUAGAAAACCUUGUGCUGGACAAGCAUGUGCGCUACAUCUGCAUCACCUAUCUUGUUGUGAUCUGGGCACUGUCUGGAAAUCUGGAUAAAAACUUUGAUGCAAAUUCGCCAAAUCGCAAUGGUGUCUUUAUCGCGGUGCUUCUGGCUUCAGCCUCGCUGUUGUUUGUGGUGCGGCUCAUUUUGGUCAUUUGGAGGCACAUCAAACUUCCGCUGUAUGACGACGUCAGUCCAGAAACCAUGGAGCCGAUGGAUAUUGGUCAGAAGCAGAAAAAAAUGUUUCGCUGAACCAUCUACAUCAUAAUAACACUGUCAUUCCAAGAUUUACUAUUGUAAUGUUUUUUUUUUUUUUUCAUAUUUGAUUGUUUAUUUAAGAUUUGUUUUUUAUGGAAAAGUUCUUCUUGUGUGUUGACGGUCUGUAGGCCU
rnacentral:lncRNA from 1 species